CGGUCUCCCAGAUAAUGUUGUCUCCAAGGAUGAGAUAAUAAAAGCUGCUAAAGCUGCCAAUGCUCAUGAAUUCAUCAUCUCUCUUCCACAGGGGUAUGACACUCUUGUUGGAGAACGAGGCAGUCUCCUAAGUGGGGGACAAAGACAGAGAAUUGCAAUUACACG